AAGAACAAGGUUCUGCCACUUGGCACCCCCACAUUCAACCAAUACACAUGUCAAAAUUCUAGCCAGUCCACAUCAUCCUAUCCUAGGUGUAAUUUUGUGAGAUUUUUCAAUUUUUGUGUAUUAUUAAUUCUUUCAAAUAUGCUGAAAUGUUUGGGCGGCCAGAUUCUGUGGAUUCAAUUUUUGAAUUUGAAUUCCAUUUACUCAUCCCAAGAAACUCAUUUACACAUGGCAAGUUCCUUUCUUUAUCACCCAGUCAAAACCCUAAUCUCCACUCCAGCAUCAUCUACGACGAUCCUCCUCUUUCACUCAGAUAUUCAAAACACCCAAAGCCGCUCAUGAUUUCAACCUCUUAACUUCGUCUUCUUCAAUACAAAUUCGGUCGUCCAUCUUGCUGAGACAAACACAGUCCAAACCCUAGCGAAGAGAUAUCGGUUCACCCGUUUCGAUUCAGGUGACUCCAAGAGUUCAUCUGAUGGUAAAAAACCAGUGCAGUUACAGGUUGUGUGCUCUUUGCAAUAUGCUACACAGGAGUUUAGAGGUCAUCUUGAGCUCAAGUUUGCAAAUCAAUUGAAAGAUGGAAGCAUGGCAGAUAAUCCAGGUCUUUUCUAUUGGUUACUGUGCAGAUAAUCCAGGUCUUUUAAAAACGCAGAUACGAGACUUAUGUUCUUGCAUAUGCAGUUUGAUGUUAAAUACUGAGGCACAUAAUCCAAUGGCGUAUCCAAAAAUGACUAAACCCGAGUUUGUGCGAAUGAACCUUGAGCGUUGUAUAUAAAGAAUACGACACGGAAUGUUGUAUAUAAAGAACUUUUUAGAGAUUUGUAAUUUGUAUUUGUAUCUAUAGAUUUCUUAGGUGUGAUAGUAAAUAUGAUAUGUAAUUAUAUAUAAAUCUUGUGCUACAUUGGAUUUUAUGUUGUUUUGUUAUUAAGAACAAUAUAAUCACAUCUGUUGGUCUUCA